GACGAACGCUGGCGGCGUGCCUAAUACAUGCAAGUCGAACGCAGUGGGGACGGGUGAGUAACACGGGGGUAACCUCCCAUGAGAGGGGAUAACACUUGGAAACAGGUGCUAAACCGAUACUGAUGGAUGGACCCGCGGUGCAUUAGCUAGUUGGUGAGGUAACGGCUCACCAAGGCCACGAGGCAUAGUCGACCUGAGAGGGUAAUCGGCCACACUGGGACUGAGACACGGCCAAGACGCCUACGGGAGGCAGCAGUAGGGAAUCUUCGGCAAUGGACGAAAGUCUGACCGAGCAAUGCCGCGUGAGUGAAGAGGGUUUUCGGAUCGUAAAACUCUGUUGUUAGAGAAGCGUUAUCUAACCAGAAAGCCACGGCUAACUCCGUGCCAGCAGCCGCGGUAAUUC
rnacentral:rRNA from 1 species